rnacentral:rRNA from 1 species
UACGUAGGGUGCAAGCGUUGUCCGGAAUUAUUGGGCGUAAAGAGCUCGUAGGCGGUCUGUCGCGUCGGCUGUGAAAACCCGGAGCUCAACUCCGGGCCUGCAGUCGAUACGGGCAGACUGGAGUUCGGCAGGGGAGACUGGAAUUCCCGGUGUAGCGGUGAAAUGCGUAGAUAUCGAGAGGAACACCUGCGGCGAAGGCGGGUUGCUGGGCUGAUACUGACGCUGAGGCGCGAAAGCCAGGGGAGCGAACGGG